AGCAUGUGGUUUAAUUCGAAGCAACGCGAAGAACCUUACCAGGUCUUGACAUCCCGAUGCUAUUCUAGAGAUAGAAAGUUACUUCGGUACAUCGGUGACAGGUGGUGCAUGGUUGUCGUCAGCUCGUGUCGUGAGAUGUUGGGUUAAGUCCCGCAACGAGCACAACCCCUACGUUUAGCUGCUAACAGGUGAAGCUGAGCACUCUAGACGAACUGCCGUUGACAAAACGGAGGAAGGUGGGGAUGACGUCAAAUCAUCAUGCCCCUUAUGUUCUGGGCUACACACGUGCUACAAUGGCCGGUACAGACGGAGGCGAAGCCGCGAGGCGGAGCAAAUCCGAAAAAGCCGGUCUCAGUUCGGAUUGCAGGCUGCAAUUCGCCUGCAUGAAGUCGGAAUCGCUAGUAAUCGCAGGUCAGCAUACUGCGGUCGAAUACGUUCCGGGCCUU
rnacentral:rRNA from 1 species